rnacentral:rRNA from 1 species
UACGGAGGGUGCGAGCGUUGUCCGGAAUCAUUGGGCGUAAAGGGCGCGUAGGUGGCCCCUCAAGCGUGCGGUGAAAGUCAGGGGCUCAACCCCUGAUCGGCCGUGCGAACUGGGGAGCUUGAGCACUGUAGAGGCAGGCGGAAUUCCGGGUGUAGCGGUGGAAUGCGUAGAGAUCCGGAAGAACACCGGUGGCGAAGGCGGCUUGCCAGAACGCGCUCGACGGUGAGGGAUGAAAGCUGGGGGAGCAAACCGG